CAACUUUCAGCAAUGGAUCUCUUGGCUCUCGCAUCGAUGAAGAACGCAGCGAAUUGCGAUAUGUAAUGUGAAUUGCAGAUCUACAGUGAAUCAUCGAAUCUUUGAACGCACAUUGCGCUCCUCGGUGUUCCGAGGAGCAUGCCUGUUUGAGUGUCAUUA
rnacentral:rRNA from 2 species